rnacentral:rRNA from 1 species
GACGAACGCUGGCGGCGUGCCUAAUACAUGCAAGUCGAACGCUUUGAUUUUCACCGGAGCUUGCUCCACCGAAAAUCAAAGAGUGGCGGACGGGUGAGUAACACGUGGGCAACCUGCCCGACAGAGGGGGAUAACACUUGGAAACAGGUGCUAAUUCCGCAUAAUUUGUUUUCCCGCAUGGGAGAAUAAUAAAAGACGCUUCGGUGUCACUGUUGGAUGGGCCCGCGCUGCAUUAGUUAGUUGGUGGGGUAAUGGCCUACCAAGACCGUGAUGCAUAGCCGACCUGAGAGGGUGAUCGGCCACACUGGGACUGAGACACGGCCCAGACUCCUACGGGAGGCAGCAGUAGGGAAUCUUCGGCAAUGGACGAAAGUCUGACCGAGCAACGCCGCGUGAGUGAAGAAGGUUUUCGGAUCGUAAAACUCUGUUGUUAGAGAAGAACAAGUGGGAGAGUAACUGUUCCCUCCUUGACGGUAUCUAACCAGAAAGCCACGGCUAACUACGUGCCAGCAGCCGCGGUAAUACGUAGGUGGCAAGCGUUGUCCGGAUUUAUUGGGCGUAAAGCGAGCGCAGGCGGUUUCUUAAGUCUGAUGUGAAAGCCCUCGGCUCAACCGAGGAAGGUCAUUGGAAACUGGGGAACUUGAAUGCAGAAGAGGAGAGUGGAAUUCCAUGUGUAGCGGUGAAAUGCGUAGAUAUAUGGAGGAACACCAGUGGCGAAGGCGACUCUCUGGUCUGUAAUUGACGCUGAGGCUCGAAAGCGUGGGGAGCAAACAGG